GCAGCCUCAGCGCGCAAGAUCAGGAGGAGGGACAGGAACCGGCGUGGCUGGGAAGGGAUCCCUGCAGUCCUGCCACGGAGAGAGAUUUCCUGGAGAACGGAAUUAGCCUGGAAUGUUUUCUUGCUUUUGCGAUGAAUACUGCAAAGCUUGGAUAUUUAAGUCUCGAACGGUUUGCAUUUUCCCUCAGAAUCUCAUGCAAGUUUCAGGUUCUUUUCAGGUAUGAAGCAGGCGCGUAAUAUCCCGGCAGAGAGGGGCUGUGCCCCUGCCCCCGCCAGGCUAUGGGAGACGGAGCCCACCAAGGACCAUCAGGACAUGAGAAGCGCGCGGGUCCAGGAGGAUUAACUGCAUUUAAUGAGAUGGCUUCUGCUGGCCGCCCAGGGGCUUGGGGCAGCUGUAGGUGGGACAGCCUCAAAGUUCAUUCAUCUCCUGGCACCUUGGCAGCGUCAAGGGGCAGAAAUCUCCAGGUUCUUAAUGAAUUAAACACCAUCAGGCAGCGGGAGGAUCAGGCCCACUGCAGCCCCGGGGGCUUGUGAUGAUGUUUUACUGCACUUAGCACCAUAAGUUCAGGGCACCUUUUCUGUGCUCAUUGUAAAGCCCUCAGCCAUCCACAGGUUUAGCCCUCCCGGCCUGGCAGAGGGCUGCUAACCAGCGUGACACCGCCUCCUGGGUUGAUUGACAUGGUCCCUGGCCCACUCACUACGUUGCCAGGUCUUCCAUAUUCGCCUGCUGCCAAUAUUUUCUGUCAUCCAACCCAUCGAUAACGAAAACCCCAAAACACGCUUCUCCGCAGCCGCUUCAAUCAGCCCCGACGCACCUGCAAACUUCUAGGAAGAGCUGGACUCUGGCUGAGGUGAAAGAGCAGCACAAACCGAAUCGCGCCCCGCUUAGGGCACAGAGACAGUCACAUCGCUGGCAAAUGUCCUGGACUUCGAAACAUUCUUUCAGUUCGGCGUGUGGGUUAUUGGGACGCGAUCCCUGGGUUCUCAAGGACGGGCUCGUUAUGGAAGGAUUUCUUGUUGCUGUUGCGUGGGCAGAGUGGGGCGUAUUUUAAAAAAAUGGGCAGCUGUCCAGUUCUGUGCAGAUUUGUUGCAGAUAUUUCUGAUCGGUCACCCGUGUCUGUGGGACCCUGGGGUCUUUGCUGCCACCAGGUCUGUG